CAGCAGCCACGGGAAUACGAAGGGUGCGAGCGUUAAUCGGAAUUACUGGGCGUAAAGCGCACGCAGGCGGUUUGUUAAGUCAGAUGUGAAAUCCCCGAGCUUAACUUGGGAACUGCAUUUGAAACUGGCAAGCUAGAGUCUUGUAGAGGGGGGUAGAAUUCCAGGUGUAGCGGUGAAAUGCGUAGAGAUCGGAAGGAACAUCUGUGGCGAAGGCGACUAUCUGGGCCAACACUGACACUGAGGCACGAAAGCGUGGGGAGCAAACAGGAUUAGAUACCCCAGUAGUCCCUGUCUCUUAUAC
rnacentral:rRNA from 1 species